rnacentral:rRNA from 1 species
UCUUUUUCCCCGAGAGCUUGCUCCCCCUUGAGAAAGAGGAGUGGCGGACGGGUGAGUAACACGUGGGUAACCUGCCCAUCAGAAGGGGAUAACACUUGGAAACAGGUGCUAAUACCGUAUAACAAUUUAUGCCGCAUGGUUUUGAUUUGAAAGGCGCUUUCGGGUGUCGCUGAUGGAUGGACCCGCGGUGCAUUAGCUAGUUGGUGAGGUAACGGCUCACCAAGGCCACGAUGCAUAGCCGACCUGAGAGGGUGAUCGGCCACAUUGGGACUGAGACACGGCCCAAACUCCUACGGGAGGCAGCAGUAGGGAAUCUUCGGCAAUGGACGAAAGUCUGACCGAGCAACGCCGCGUGAGUGAAGAAGGUUUUCGGAUCGUAAAACUCUGUUGUUAGAGAAGAACAAGGAUGAUAGUAACUGUUCAUCCCUUGACGGUAUCUAACCAGAAAGCCACGGCUAACUACGUGCCAGCAGCCGCGGUAAUACGUAGGUGGCAAGCGUUGUCCGGAUUUAUUGGGCGUAAAGCGAGCGCAGGCGGUUUCUUAAGUCUGAUGUGAAAGCCCCCGGCUCAACCGGGGAGGGUCAUUGGAAACUGGGAGACUUGAGUGCAGAAGAGGAGAGUGGAAUUCCAUGUGUAGCGGUGAAAUGCGUAGAUAUAUGGAGGAACACCAGUGGCGAAGGCGGCUCUCUGGUCUGUAACUGACGCUGAGGCUCGAAAGCGUGGGGAGCAAACAGGAUUAGAUACCCUGGUAGUCCACGCCGUAAACGAUGAGUGCUAAGUGUUGGAGGGUUUCCGCCCUUCAGUGCUGCAGCUAACGCAUUAAGCACUCCGCCUGGGG